UAGGGAAUAUUGCACAAUGGGGGAAACCCUGAUGCAGCGACGCCGCGUGAGUGAUGAAGGCCUUCGGGUCGUAAAGCUCUGUCGUAUGGGACUAACAAAAUGAAGGUACCAUGCAAGAAAGGAUCGGCUAACUUCGUGCCAGCAGCCGCGGUAAGACGAGGGAUCCUAGCGUUGUUCGGAAUUAUUGGGCGUAAAGCGGGUGUAGGCGGACUUAUAAGUCAGGUGUGAAAUCCCAGGGCUCAACCCUGGAAGUGCACUUGAUACUGCAAGUCUUGAGUGUGGUAGAGGCUAUUAGAAUUCCUGGUGUAGUGGUGAAAUACGUAGAUAUCAGGAGGAAUACCGGAGGCGAAGGCGGAUAGCUGGGCCAACACUGACGCUGAGACCCGAAAGCGUGGGGAUCAAACAGGAUUAGAUACCCGCGUAGUCCCUGAGCGGGCUGGCAAGGCGCAU
rnacentral:rRNA from 1 species